ACUCAAAGGAAGGGAUGAGAAGAAGAGCUACAAGUUCACCCCAAAGUCAUAGAGAAUAGAACUAACAUGGUGGAAUAUAUAGGCUCGACAUGGAUGCCACCUUCCAGCUAUCACUACGAUAUUUGGAACUAAAUACAAAUCAAGGUAACCUCUAGUAUGCAGUGACGGAGCCAGCUGUGGGGCUGUUGAAGCUCCAGCCCCCCUAUGGCCGAGCUUGAUAAUAAAUUCAGUGACCCAAAACAUAUAUUGUGCAAUAAAUUAAAAUAGAAAUUUCAUAAUGACCUUCGCUAAGAGGUGACUGAUAUUCUGAACUACAUGCGAAAAUUAGUGCAAUUUGUAUUUAAUGCCACGAGCGAUUUCUUUAAACACAAAAAAUGUGGUCGGAUCUGCCCACAUAUAUUCAGUUUGCACAUGCUCAUACUGCUACUUAGGGAUUUUUCCUCGUUUAAAUGAGAGCUCAAAGCAAGGAUGAAAAAAAGAAGAAGAUGAAAACGAGUUUUACGAUGGUUGUGAAAAAUACAAACCAUCUAUUACGAGAGAUCGAUAAGUGAAAAAAAUAAGAGAUACUGAAAAAAAAUACUAAAAACUACCAAAUAGUUAAAAACAGUAUCAAAAUAUGUGCGAUC
rnacentral:lncRNA from 1 species